UUUUUUUUUUUUUUUUUUUGGCUAAUAUCAUCCCGUGUGAGGUAACUCAGACCCAAAAGGACAUCCAUGGUAUGUACUCACUAAUAAAGUAAGUUCUUAAGAUAUAAAUUCCAAAGGUAAAAUACUUUGGAAAAUGCUGUGUAUUGUAAUGUGACAUGGACAACUGCGGAUUUAUUUAUUUUUUUUAACUGACAUUACUUCUCAGAGGCUUUGAGAUGCCAAUUGACAUGUGUCUCUUUAUGAGAGGUUAGUGGUCAUAGUUCUCAGAAGCACAGUAACCUGCAGGCACUCUUGUCUUGUAUUCAUUCUCAUGGUUGUAAAUGAAGAGAUACUGGGCUUGGGGACGACGGUGUUCCAGUUAGACCGUCUGUGCUAUGGAAUCUCAGCUAAGUUAUAUUCUAAAUGUUGUCUUGGAUGGGUACUGCCCAGUGGUGUCCUCUUGGCUCUUCUUAUAGAAGACACACACAGCUGCACACAACUUCAGAACAGAGUGAAGUAUGAAUUUCACUCUGCCCACCAGUUUGUUUGGUUUGACUCGGCCAUCAAGAAGCCAUAGUACCUCGUUUCUCAGCAUGUGGUUUAUCAUCCCUGUUUCCAAAUGCCAGAUAAUCAAUCCCUUCUCGGUAUUUUAUUCAGGUUUUUAUAUAAUCCCUAGGUUCCUGUGUCGUCACAGGAGUCUAAAAAUGCUUUAUGUUAAGAGAUAGUAAACUUUUCAAAGUUGAUGGGCUCUAAUGCCUGAGGAGCCAAGAGCCCUGUGGAAACGAAGCGGGUGGUGGUGAUCCAUCUGUGGGAUGAAUUUAAUCUGAGAACCUGAUUUUUCCAGUUUUUGAGCUAUCUCAUGCCUGAGUACAUUUACUAACUAGAACUCAGCUUCUCUGGAGAAAGGAUUUUCUGUCACCCAUUCACUGGAUGUUCUUUAUAAUUGACCUGAAAUCUAUCUUCCUGUAAUCUCCUUUUGAUUCAUCCAUAGGGGCACUUACAUAACACAUCUGAUCUCCCUCUCCACCUGCUGUCCAAGAGUUUAAAUUCUUGUCUUCACUUUUCACCUUCUCUGUUCCUUUACCUACCUUUUCAAAUUCGAUUAGUCACUGUGCUCUGAGAGUAAGCAUGUUUGCCUGUGUGUCUGUGUGUGUUAAUGUUAAACUAUAAUGUUUAACACUCAAUACCGUCAGUGUACCUACCUGUCACGGCUGCAGAAAAGUUAUUUAUACUUCACAUAUUUCUCUUAAAGGUGAAAUUUGAAGAAGCACUGUAAAAUAAAGUAUGUUUUAUAAUUUUUAUUCCAUACAAUACAAUGAAUUUUAACAAUAGUGACAGAUUCUGUAUAUUUUUAGAGAACACUAGAAGUUACAAUUGAAUGAGCAUUAUUUCAUGCAUUAAAAUAAAAACACUUGAUGCAAAAUAGUGUGGAUUGACAUAUAUUAGAAUGUUAAAUUAUGUGUGAGAAUUCACAGGUGAAUGUACAUAUAAAUUAUUUAAAUGUUAGAUGCUUGGAACUUCUGAUUUUGUGCGUAUAUUUCAGUUCAGUAGCUCCUUUAUUAAGCAAAGGAAAGCUAGUUCAGUGUGCACCAUUUAUUAGAGAUGAUUCUCUACUUUAGGUUAGCAUUAUAGACAAGGUGAAUUAAAAUAUUCUAAUCAGUAUGUGAAAUCAAAUAUUUUUGACAGGCUCUUUGUCAUUUAAAUUUCUUCUAGUAGUGAAAUGUAAAUUAGAUAAUUUAAAAUCAUCCUAUUGUUAAGCAAAUACGUGGACAGACUAUUUUGAAGUGUAUUAAUUUACUCUCUUCGAAGGCUACCAUGAAAUUUUAGAGAAGGUAAUGUUUGUGGACAUCCUCCAGUCAGGCUGUUGGCCCCUGUUGCUGGUGCUAACCCAGUUACUGGGUCAGCAUGUGAUCGAGUGAGCCAACUGCAGCUUAGUCCUCCUUCUGGGGCCAUGGCUCAAAUACUGUAUCAUGAUGGUUUUACCUUCUUAUUCUGGAGACUUCUGAUGGCAAACGCAAUUGGGCCAGCACUAGGGAAGUCAUUUAUAGACAUGGCUUGGCUCCGAUCCCAGCUCUUCCCACCCUCUUAAGUAGGUCACCCAGCUUCUCAAACUCUCAGUCUUUUCAUAUUUGUAAGAUCUAAAGGUUCAUCUUAUUACUGUUGUGGUAUGUGAUAAACAUUUUACUAAAUGAUUAUAGAAAUGAGUGGAAUUUUUUUUACAAUAUUUUUCUCUGUUAUGUAAAAUGGAAUAGCAAAUGGAAGCUGUCAUUGUUUUUUUCUUACUUGGUGUAUUUUACUGUGUAGGAUAGGGUGUAAUUUAGCAAUUACUCAACUUUCAUAUGUUGUAAUUAGACCACAUUUAAAUGAGGGAAGUUACUGUUAGACAAGGUCAUAGACACUGUUGGCCUCCUAUGAGCUGUAGAACAUCAGUUGAAAAAAUACUAAACAAAGAAUUCUCAACAGAGGAAUACCAAAUGGCUGAGAAACACCUAGAGAAAUGUUCAACAUCCUUAGUUGUCAGGGAAAUGCAAAUCAAAACAACUCUGAGAUGCCACCUGACACCAGUUAGAAUGGCUAAGAUCAAAACCUCAGGUGACAGCAGAUGCUGGCAAGGUGUGGAGAAAGGGGAACACUCCUCCAUUGUUGGUGGGAUUGCAAGCUGCUACAACCACUCUGGAAAUCAGUCUGGCAGUUCCUCAGAAAAUUGGACAUACCACUCCUGGGCAUAAACCCAAAAGAUGCUCUAACAUAUAAGAAGAACACAUGCUCCACUAUGUUCGUAGCAGCCAUAUUUAUAAUAGCCAGGAGCUGGAAAGAACCCAGAUGACCCUCAACAGAGGAAUGGAUACAGAAAAUGUGGUACAUUUACAUAAUGGAGUACUACUCAGCUCUUAAAAACAAUGACUUCAUGAAAUUCUUAGGCAAAUGGAUGGAACUAGAAAAUAUCAUCCUGAGUGAGGUAACCCAAUCACAAAAAAUACACAUGUUAUGUACUCAGUGAUAAGUGGAAAUUAGCUCAAAAUCUUGGAAUACCCAAGAUACAAUUCGCAGACCACAUGAAACUCAAGAAGAAGGAAGACCAAAGUGUGGAUACUUCAGUCCUUAGAAGGGGGAACAAAAUACUCGAGGGAGAAAAUACAGAGUCAAAGUGUGGAGCAGAGACUGAAGGAAAGGCCAUCCAGAGACUGCCCUACUUGGGGAUUCAUCCCAUAUACAGUUACCAAACCCAGACACUAUUGUGGAUGCCAAGAAGUGCUUGCUGACAGGAGCCCGAUACAGCUGUCUCCUGAUAAGCUCUGCCAGAGCCUGACAAAUACAGGGCAGAUGCUCACAGCCAACCAUUGGACUGAGCACAGAGUCCCCAAUGAAGGAGUUAGAGAAAGGACUGAAGAAGCUGAAGGGGUUUGCAACCCCAUAGGCUGAACAAGAUCAACCAACCAGACCCCUCCCCCUUACCCCCACCCCCACAGUGGUUGCUCCCAGGGACUAUAACAUCAACCCAAGAGUACACAUGGAGGGACCUAUGGCUCCAGCUGCAUAUGUAGCAGAGGACAUCAGUGGGAGGAGGGGCCAUUGGCCCUCUGAAGGCUGGAUGUCCCAGUGUAGGGGAAUGCCAGGAUGGGAAAGCAGGAGUGGACUGGUGGGUGGGGGAGCACCGUCAUAGAGGCAGGGGUAUGGGGGAUGGGAUAGGGGGUUUCGGAGGAGAAACCAGGAAAGGGGAUAACUUUUGAAAUGUAAAUAAAGAAAAUAUCUAAUAAAAAAU
rnacentral:lncRNA from 1 species